CCUGAAUUCGAAAGGGACCGGAUUCAAUACCUACCGAGUGUUCGGGGCUCGCCCGCCAGAUGGCGCCGGUCGCCCGCGGUGCGAUUCAUUUCGCCCGCGGUGUCGUUCCCGGCGAUCACUCGGCGCGGUUUCGAUGCCUUCCCGGCUCCGGAGGGGUGCACUUCCUCCCUAGUAGAAACGUCGCGACCCGUUGGGUGCCGGUCAAAGGCCCUUGGGAAGGCAGACCGCGCGUUCCGUGGGGGUUCCCACGGGCGCGCGGACUCCCGGUGUCCCGGCCGGCUGCCCGACGGUAGGACCAGAGGAGUCGAUCCGCUUGAACAUGAGAAACACUGUGGAUUGUGAAGCGUCCGGCCCGGCGCCGGGGCGCGCGGUGGAACAAAGUGGUC
rnacentral:rRNA from 1 species